UAAAAGGAAAUUUUUCAGAGUAGAGUUCACAGUAAUCUUCAACAGUGAAGUUUUCAAGACAAGACGGACAAGUUGACUGAAAUUUCCGGUAUCAAAAUGGCAAUGAAACAAUGUAAAAAAUUCAAAUGUUUCGUGAAAGAGAAAAUAGUUCCUUGCAAUAAACCAACCCCACCACCACCGAACCCGGACAAUAAGGAUUGCGACCAAGUAUACAAAGAUCUGGGAUUAUGUUUGAAAGAAUGUAUACUCAAAGCAGAAGAGAGUGGCUCUGGAGGUACAGACGCCAAUUGCGAUUGGUGAAGUAAUUUAUCUGGCUAAAGGAAUAAUCUAUUAAUUCAAGUGUAUUUCAUUUCUAUGUAUUUCACUUUAAAAAAUUAAAUAAUGUUAGUGUUACUGAUUGAAAAUACACUUUUGCAACACCAA